UCUGAAAAAUCCGCGAAGUGAAGAGAAUUUUCUUUGCCGUCUGGGAUGUGUCAAGUGGUCUUCUUGAUCAGAAAUUCAAUUACAUCGACAUCAGAGGAACCGUAGAUCUAUAUCCAUGGAUUAUCUCCAUCUUCACAACCUUGAAUUACUAAGAGCUACCUUUGCCAAGACGUGGGCUACUUGAUGCUAAAAAUCCAUCAGAAUCUUACGAGGAUGGGCCACUUCGAGAUCGGUAUCGACUGUCAAAAGAAACCGACAUGUACGUCAUCAAUAUGCUGGAAGUUGAAUUGAAGAGGGACACACAGAAGAAUGAUCCACUUCCUGUUUAUUUGCAGGCGUUGACAACUCUCCGUUUUUAUGCAGUGGGAUCAUUUCAAAAGAUGCAUGAUGAUGAGGCAGCAAUAUCGCAGUCAUCAAUGUGUCGGAUCAUCAAAGAUGUGUCGGAAGCUAUACAAUUCCUUUGACAAGAGAAGAAGUUGAAGCAACUCAGCGACAGUUCUACCAGUAUUGUUAGAUUUCCAGGAGUGAAAGGUGCAAUUGAUGGGACACAUGUCUACAUCAAGAGCCCAGGGGGGGGGGGAGGGGGAUUGGGCCAUAUGCUUCCUAUAUACCCCAUUCCAAAUUCAUGUGGAGAGGAAUGCCUAUAACAAUGGCAAAAGUAUUAAGAACAUAGAAAAGCAGAGUUCAUUCAAAUUUAUGAAGAAUACUUUACUUCUUUAUUUGUUAAUAAAUUGAUUGGUAUAACCCUGUGAUUCCAGCAGCUUAGCUUCAGCAACCUCUCUUUCUUUAUUCAAAACGUCAAUUCAUAGUUCAUGCUCCUUCAAGCUCAUAUCGUGCUCUUUCAAUCUCAUAUUGUGUUCUUUCACUCUCAUCUUGUACUCUUUUAAGUCGAGAUCAUGCUUCUUCCAUUGAACUUCAAUUCUAACGGCAUGCACUUCUACCAGCUCAAACACUUCUGACAGAUGAUUCUUUUUUCCUUGAGAUGGGUAAUUCAAAUUCCAUUUUGCAGAAGAAGGAAGGUUUGUAGUAUUGCUGCAGGGUUAAAAUUCAAUAUUGAAGUACCAGUACAUAACAUAUAGUAACAGUGCAGUUUGUAAGAAACAUACUAUAAAUCACGUUGUCAAAGAUGUGUUGUUUAACGUACUAGUAACUCUCUACUUGAUUGGUUCAGCUUCUGACACCAAUGACAUUGGGGAGUUCUCUGAUUGUUCUCAGAACCAUAAAUUGAAUUUUGGAAAACAUUAAAGACUUACCCGGUAAUUAUAAAAUUUCUUUAAAAACAGAAAAUAAUGCAAUGCUUUCUUUUCAGAAGCAUACAAUAUUCAGUGCACAGUUCAUUGAAUCGCUUGAAUCUGGUAACAUACAUAUAUUGAAGCCCUUUUCAUACUUCAAAUGAUUCACCCUCCCAGUUCAGUUAUAUAAAUCCCUCUUCACCUCUAAAUAUCGUACUACAUAUCUGUAGUAUAUUCAGAUUAUUUUGUGUGUACCAGUGUAUUGUGCAUCCAAUUAACAUGAUCUUGUAAUUAAAUGUACAUGUACUUGAUUUGGGGAUCAUGUUUAAUUUGUUAAAGUAUUUAACAUCUAUUUCAACUACAUCUGAUUUAUGAGUCUGGUCAAAGAGAUAUUCUGGCAGAAAGGGUUAAUGGAAAAAAAGGCAUUGUAAUUUUAAUGGUACUAAAUUACCUUGAAGAGGAAUGUGAUUUUGAAGAAGGUCCAUCAGUCUGGGAACGUUUCCUUGAUAACUCGGACAGAAAUGAAUUUGUAGAAUUUGUCCUCGUGGUGAAAAAAAUAGAUGAACUUCUGUUCUUAUGCUGGUUUAUAAAUUUCAACAAUGUGUCUCAUUCAUCUCAGUUGGGAGGGUUUUAUUAUUUUGUUUCAAGGAAAGUGAUGAAUACUCUUGAUCAUGUAAUUAUAUUAUGAUUUGGGAUUUUUUUUUUUUGAGAGGUCCACUUUGUGAGAUAGCUUUUAUUCAAAAUUAGCUUAAACUGGACAUGGAGUUUUCAUAUUUGCAAUCAUUAUUUGUGUAUUAAUUGCAACAAGCAU